UGUCAUCAGCUACAGUCCUACUGCCAGCAGGGUUUGUUCUUCUUGCUGUGAUCUUCUACCAGUAUAUACGUGUGAAGGAACAGAAGAAGAAAGUAGAGAAGGCUUACCAGGCUUUACAUAUGGAGAGAGAUGACAACAAAGAACUGGUGACCAAGCUACAUCUGAUGUCAGACCCAAGUUAACCGUAGACCCUGGUUGUUGACAGAUGUUUUACUGACGGCACACACUGGUUGUUGACAGGUGUU